AGAGUUUGAUCAUGGCUCAGGACGAACGCCGGCGGCGUGCUUAACACAUGCAAGUCGAACGAUUAAAGCUCCCUUCGGGGAGUGUAUAAAGUGGCGAACGGGUGAGUAACACGUGGGCAAUCUACCUCAAGGACUGGGAUAACUUCGGGAAACCGGAGCUAAUACCGGAUAACAACGUGGUGUCGCAUGGCACUUCGUUCAAACGGUCCGCCGCCUUGAGAUGAGCCCGCGGCCCAUUAGCUUGUUGGUGAGGUAAUGGCUCACCAAGGCUGCGAUGGGUAGCCGAGCUGAGAGGCUGACCGGCCACAUUGGGACUGAGACACGGCCCAGACUCCUAUGGGAGGCAGCAGUGGGGAAUUUUGCGCAAUGGGGGAAACCCUGACGCAGCAACGCCGCGUGCGGGACGACGGCCUUCGGGUUGUAAACCGCUGUCAGGAGGGACGAAGCGAAAGUGACGGUACCUCCAGAGGAAGCCCCGGCUAAUUACGUGCCAGCAGCCGCGGUAACACGUGAGGGGCAAGCGUUGUCCGGAUUCAUUGGGCGUAAAGAGCGCGUAGGCGGCUUGUCAAGUCAGGUGUGAAAACCGGGGGCUCAACCCGCGGACUGCACUUGAAACUGGCAGGCUUGAGUCUAGUAGAGGGAAAUGGAAUUCCUAGUGUAGCGGUGAAAUGCGCAGAUAUUAGGAAGAACACCGGUGGCGAAGGCGGUUUCCUGGGCUACGACUGACGCUGAGGCGCGAAAGCUAGGGGAGCAAACAGGAUUAGAUACCCUGGUAGUCCUAGCCGUAAACGAUGGGCACUAGGUGUAGGGGGUUAUCGACUCCCCCUGUGCCGUAGCUAACGCAUUAAGUGCCCCGCCUGGGGAGUACGGCCGCAAGGCUAAAACUCAAAGGAAUUGACGGGGGCCCGCACAAGCGGCGGAGCAUGUGGCUCAAUUCGACGCAACGCGAAGAACCUUACCGGGGUUUGACAUGUUUGGUAAAACCGUGGAAACACGGUGUGUCUUCGGACGCCUUACACAGGUGGUGCAUGGUUGUCGUCAGCUCGUGUCGUGAGAUGUUGGGUUAAGUCCCGCAACGAGCGCAACCCUUGUCCUAUGUUGCCAGCAUUUAGUUGGGGACUCAUGGGAGACUGCCAGCGUCAAGCUGGAGGAAGGUGGGGAUGACGUCAAAUCAUCAUGCCCCUUAUAUCCCGGGCUGCACACGUGCUACAAUGGCCGGUACAAUGGGCUGCGACGGGGCGACCCUGAGCGAAUCCCAUAAAACCGGUCUCAGUUCGGAUCGGAGGCUGCAACCCGCCUCCGUGAAGUCGGAGUCGCUAGUAAUCGCGAAUCAGAACGUCGCGGUGAAUACGUUCCCGGGCCUUGUACACACCGCCCGUCACACCACCCGAGUUGUCUGCACCCGAAGUCGCCGGCCUAACCCUUUUGGGAGGGAGGCGCCGAAGGUGUGGAGAGUAAGGGGGGUGAAGUCGUAACAAGGUAGCCG
rnacentral:rRNA from 1 species